rnacentral:rRNA from 1 species
GAUGAACGCUGGCGGCGUGCCUAAUACAUGCAAGUCGAGCGAACAGACGAGGAGCUUGCUCCUCUGACGUUAGCGGCGGACGGGUGAGUAACACGUGGAUAACCUACCUAUAAGACUGGGAUAACUUCGGGAAACCGGAGCUAAUACCGGAUAAUAUAUUGAACCGCAUGGUUCAAUAUUGAAAGACGGUUUUGCUGUCACUUAUAGAUGGAUCCGCGCCGCAUUAGCUAGUUGGUAAGGUAACGGCUUACCAAGGCAACGAUGCGUAGCCGACCUGAGAGGGUGAUCGGCCACACUGGAACUGAGACACGGUCCAGACUCCUACGGGAGGUAGCAGUAGGGAAUCUUCCGCAAUGGGCGAAAGCCUGACGGAGCAACGCCGCGUGAGUGAUGAAGGUCUUCGGAUCGUAAAACUCUGUUAUUAGGGAAGAACAAAUGUGUAAGUAACUAUGCACGUCUUGACGGUACCUAAUCAGAAAGCCACGGCUAACUACGUG